rnacentral:rRNA from 1 species
UGCCAGCCGCCGCGGUAAUACGGAGGGUGCGAACGUUGCUCGGAAUCAUUGGGCGUAAAGCGCACGUAGGCGGCUUUGCAAGUUGGAUGUGAAAGCCCGGGGCUCAACCCCGGAAGCGCACCCAAAACUGCUUGGCUCGAGUUCCGAAGGGGGCCAGAGAAUUCCCGGUGUAGAGGUGAAAUUCGUAGAUAUCGGGAGGAAUACCAGUGGCGAAGGCGACUUGCUGGACUGUAACUGACGCUGAGGCUCGAAAGCGUGGGGAGCGAACGGGAUUAGAUA